ensembl:lncRNA novel transcript, antisense to CRMP1
AAUCCUUGCGCCUGCGCCGCAGAAACCCCUCCUGCAGCCCAGGGAGAAGCCUGGUGGGCGGGGGGGGAAGGGCCGGGGCACCCGUUGCGAAGCCCUGGAGCGGUGAGGCCCGCCCCGGAACCCGAGCCCACUGUAACCCAAGCCUCAAGGCCGCUCUGCCGGCAGAAAGUAAAACCCUCCCUCCGUGGAGAUCGCGAGCCCCUGAGUUCCACAGUCGCGAAGCUCGAGUGCUUUCGGAGCCCCGGGAGCGCCAGAGGCGCUGCCUUUUGUCCGGUGCCUGAGAAGCCAUGGAGAAAGGCAGAGGGGACCACAGGGAGAAGAGGAAGGAGUAGGGGAGAGGAACGGGAGAGGUGAAGCGACCAGCGUCCCCAAGGGUCAGGGCGCAGCUGCGGGGCUGGCCCAGGCUGCGCCCUGGGGGAGAUGCUGGCGUUGGUGACAUUGACCGCAGUUCCAGAGGAACUCUCCUUGGGACAGCUACGGGCCGUGCACAAAGCGCCCUCGCCUCCCUAGUACUCCACCACGCUUUGAGGAAGGCCGGAAGAAGACGGCCACCCCCAUCUGACAGAUGGAGAAGCUGAGGCCCAAGAGAGCAAAGCGCCUUGGCUGGAAACCCGGAUUCCCUGGUGCUGGUCCCGCUUCUCGGCCCGCGGCCCAGAAGCCUCCCCAUCGGGCUCGGGAGUUUGGAUCCCAAGAGAGGUCGGACCACCAGGGAAGGUAGUGGACAGGGGGAGAUACAGAAGGGGUGGGGGAAGAGGAAGCUGGACUCUCGCACCAUCUCCCUUUCUGAUCACCCCACCACCACACACACAUACACACACACACACACACACACACACACACACACACACCCUUGCUGUUGGACCUCUCCCUCGCGAGGCUCCGGCUUCAGGACCACGGAGAGCUCUGGAGCAACAGCCCGCCCGCGAAGGGAUGGGGCCCGAAGAGGCCCACCACCGUGUUUACCAGUUCCCUGCUCCUAUUCCUCCAGGAAGCCCUCCCAGAUAUCUGCCCCGAUCAAGCUCUGCUUCCCUCCAGGCUCACUUUGGGUCACUCAUAGCAUUUAAGAGGGGAAGGUUUAAUUAAAAUGAUAAUGAUUGUAAUAAAAGUCAACAACAAACAUUUAUUGAAUGCUCACUA